UAAUUAUUGAGUUUGAUCCUGGCUCAGAAUGAGCGCUAGCGAUAGCUUUUAUACAUGCAAGUCGAGUGUAUUUAUUUACACGGCGAACGGGUGAGUACAAUUCGAGAAUUCUGCCGAAGAGGACAGGUCAAUCCUGUAUAUUUGCAAAGGCGAAGUCCCCCUCUUUGAUGAGCUCGAACAAUAUUAGGUAGUUGGUGGGGUAAGAGCCUACCAAGCCAAAGAUGUUUAGCGGGUGUGAGAGCACGAUCCGCCACAUUAGAACUGAGACACGGUCUAAACUAUAUUUUAUAGGCAGCAGUAGAGAAUAAUGAACAAUGAGCGGAAGCUUGAUUCUGGUAUAUCGCGUGGUGGAUGAAGGCCAUUUCGGUCGUAAACACCUUUUCUUGCAAGAUUAUUGUGAAGUUCUGCAAGCUAAAAAGUAGUGGCUAAACACGUGCCAGCAGCCGCGGUAAUACGUGUACUACGAGCGCUAUUCGGUUUUAUUUGGUGUAAAGGGUUUUUAGGCGGAUUGUAUUGUUGACAUGUUCCAGUCUACAGCUAAACUGUAGAAUGCAUUCAAAACGUACAAUCUCUGAGUGAAUUAGAGGAGAGUGGAAUACCGAAAGUAGAGGUUAAAUUCAAAGAUAUUCGGGGGAAGACCAAAUGAGAAGUCAGCUCUCUUGGAUUUCACUGACGCUGAAGAACGAAAGCUUAAGUAGCAAAAUGGAUUAGAUACCCAAGUAGUUUAAGCUGUAAACGAUGAGUGUUCGCUGGGUGUACUUUUGUUAUGCCUGGCCAAGCUAACGCGUUAAACACUCCACCUGAAUAGUACGAUCGCAAGAUUAAAAUUCAAAGGAAUUGACGGGAAUUAAUACGAACAGUGGAUCAUCUUGUUUAAUUUGAAACUACGCAGAAAAUCUUACCAAUCCUUGAAUAUCCGAGAUCCCUGGCAAAAAACCACUGGAAUACCGGAUACAAGCACUGCACGGCUGUCGUCAGUUCGUGAAUUGAUUUGUUAGGUUAAGUCCUAAAACGAACGCAACCCUCAUGUAAAUUUAUAAAAGCUUAAUUGUUAGUAAUGUUUACAAACUGCUAUUGAUAAGAUAGAGGAAGGUGAGGAUGAAGACAAGUCAUCAUGGUCUUUAUGGAUUGGGCUACAAAGGUGAUACAGUGCAUAUAACAAAGUGUUGCAAUGGCGCGAGCCGGAGCUAAUCAUUAAACAUAUGCAUGGUUUGGAUUGUUGUCUGCAACUCGACAACAUGAAAUUGGAAUUGUUAGUAAUCGUGAAUCAGAACGUCACGGUGAAAUCGUACCUUAAUUUUGUACAUACCGCCUGUCAAGUCUCGAAAGUGAUUGUUACCCCAAACGGAAAAGAUAAUUUUAGAACAUUUAUUCUUUCAGUUCGAAAGAUAGCCGUUUCUUCUAUGGUCUCUUUGGUCGACGGUAAAACUCAUGAUUGUGACUAAGUCAUAACAAGGUAACUGUAAGGGAACUUGCUGUUGGAUCGACUCCUUUU
rnacentral:rRNA from 1 species